rnacentral:lncRNA from 1 species
GGCAUUUGAUUAAAAAAAAAAUUGAUGAACGAGAACGAGAAGAAGGAGACCCCGACUGCCAAGAGAGAGCCAGCCUCUCUGCGUCAAGUCGACUGCCAUAGAAGAUGAAGAAAACCAUGGCAGAUGGAGAACAAGAUGAAACCGAGAGGGGGAAGCAUCGAAGACACGAAGAAAGGGAGAUCGCGACAUACCUGGAGAUGAACGAGAAGGAUCGCCGCCGGAGAAGAUGCUCUGCAAUUGGUCGUCGCCGGAGAAGAUGCUCUGGAUUGGUCGCCGCCGCUUCAGGUAGGGUUUCCUUUUGGAGUUUUUCUCCCAAUUUCUGUUUG